rnacentral:rRNA from 1 species
AACGAACGCUGGCGGCGUGCCUAACACAUGCAAGUCGAACGUGAUUAGAGGGCUUGCUCUCUAUGAAAGUGGCGCACGGGUGAGUAACGCGUAGAUAAUCUACCUGGUGAUCCGGGAUAACAGUUCGAAAGGACUGCUAAUACCUGAUAAGCCCACGGAGUCCUUGGACUCUGCGGGAAAAGGGGGGGACCAUUUGGCCUUCCGUCAUCAGAUGAGUCUGCGUACCAUUAGCUAGUUGGUAGGGUAAAGGCCUACCAAGGCGACGAUGGUUAGCUGGUAUGAGAGGAUGAUCAGCCACACUGGAACUGAGACACGGUCCAGACUCCUACGGGAGGCAGCAGUGGGGAAUUUUGCGCAAUGGGGGAAACCCUGACGCAGCAACGCCGCGUGAGUGAUGAAGGCCCUUGGGUCGUAAAGCUCUGACAGAGGGAAAGAAAUGCAGGGGAGCUAAUAUCUCCUUUGCUUGACGGUACCCUCAAAGGAAGCACCGGCUAACUCCGUGCCAGCCGCCGCCGUAA